rnacentral:rRNA from 1 species
UAGGGAAUCUUCGGCAAUGGGGGCAACCCUGACCGAGCAACGCCGCGUGAGUGAAGAAGGUUUUCGGAUCGUAAAGCUCUGUUGUAAGUCAAGAACGGGUGUGAGAGUGGAAAGUUCACACUGUGACGGUAGCUUACCAGAAAGGGACGGCUAACUACGUGCCAGCAGCCGCGGUAAUACGUAGGUCCCGAGCGUUGUCCGGAUUUAUUGGGCGUAAAGCGAGCGCAGGCGGUUUGAUAAGUCUGAAGUUAAAGGCUGUGGCUCAACCAUAGUUCGCUUUGGAAACUGUCAAACUUGAGUGCAGAAGGGGAGAGUGGAAUUCCAUGUGUAGCGGUGAAAUGCGUAGAUAUAUGGAGGAACACCGGUGGCGAAAGCGGCUCUCUGGUCUGUAACUGAUGCUGAGGCUCGAAAGCGUGGGGAGCGAACAGGAUUAGAUACCCUG